CUUAUUGGCAUAGGUCGUGAAACUGGCGACUCCACUCUCUGAGUUUCCAGGGCUGCGUGGGUAAUGUGAUCACAAACCCGCUGCGGGAUUAAAUGAGUGUGAAGGAAUUUGACGAGUGCUGUCCUUAACUGCGUAGAAGGAAAGUGAUUGCAGAGACAAUUUUAGACAGAUAAUUUCAAAUCUAACUAGAAUGGAAACCAAUGUAACGGAUAGAUUUCAGCCUAAUGCAAAGUCUAAUGAGUUUCUGAGACCGUCGGGGAAUAACUGCGCGGAUAAGAGUCGUUGAGCCAGAAGGUAAGGAUGUUUUAAUCCCCAAGAAAAAAGCUAGAGUAGCAUCUACGCUAUGUUUGACACCUGGCAGAGACAACGAAUGUCGGUCCGCUCCCACCGCUUGAUAUUGAUCAUCCGAUUUUCGAUUAGGAAUCCAAGUUCACCAAUAAAUAUCUUAAAUCUGGUUCCCAUCGUAGUAAUGUAUGUAGUUUCUGUAAGCGCUGGUUUGGAAUGUUAGAGGCGAUCAUUAACUGCAAUGUUCAGGGGGCGACGUGCAGAGGAAUUGCGGGUCGCUUUUGGCCAUUGAAUGUGCUCUUCGUUUUACAUGUGCCUAUGGACCUGGACAUUAUCUAGUGAUAUUAGGAAGAUUACUUUAAGCUUAGGAGCCUAGUAUUUAAUUUAAUUUUUUUUCUGUGCAAUUGGUUUGUGGGGUAUAGUUAGUGUUUUUUGUCAAUUUGCUUUGGAAGAUUGGCAGCAAAGAUUGGCUGGAACUGACAGGUAGCUAUAACAUUGGAUGGCUUCAACAUGGAUUCCAAUCAGAAGCGAGGUGGUCUGUAAGCUUAGAACAGGGCUUAGGGCUUUUUGAUUUAAUAUAUUUUUUGGGCAUCAUUAUAUAAUAUUCCAAUGAGGAAGUUUGACCAAUAAUUAAAUAUAAGCCGAUCACGAAAAAAAUAUUCUCAGAUGUUUCCUUUUAUUUCAGUGCAUGAAAGGGUUUAGAACAUUCAAAGGGUUUGAACACGAUGAUUCAUCGGGCGAUUGAGCGAGUUAUGGCUUCUAUCGGUUUCUCUGAGUAAGGAGCUUAUGGUAUUCAAUUCUGCUGGCUUACAAUUUUGAUUGUUUUCUUUUUGGGUUUAGUAGUUAAAUUUCAUUCGUUGGUUUUACCAUUUCAGAUUCUUUCAGAGUGAAGGAAGGAAAGGGUUUUAUGCAGGGUUUUUAGGGCCAUAUUGAGAUUCUAUCAUUUCAGAUUGCCCAGUAGCGCUAUUUGAAAGAUCUGUUGUUAAACUUUGUGAUCCCUUUUUAGCUCAUUGCAGGGAGUGCGAUUUUACUGAAAUUUGUACAUUUUAUUUUAGGUACAUAAAGUCAUGUUUUAGAUUUCGUAUCUGAUCAUCUUGGCAGCUAGAGAUGCUUGCAAUUCUCUGUGUGUAUUUUAUAAGGUAAAUGCUCUGUAGAUUGUCAGGGUCAGCAUAUCGCAUUUUGGUCAUGCAUGCAAUUGUAUUUGUGUGCUUUGUAGGUUAGAUGCUCUGUAAAUCGUCAGAGCUAGCAUGCAUCACCGGAUAUGUAGAAGCGCAGUGUGUCACCGUCGCAAUGUCAGCUUACUCUCAAUUUCCCAGAGAUCAAUUAACUAAAUUCCACCAGAGAAAUGGCCUGUUAUUUUUUGUUAUCGUUUGCUGCAGUUAUAUGAUUUAGGGGGUAAACUUAUUAUUAUGCUUUAAACAGCGUUUGUUUUAGGCUUGUUAAGUUUGUCUUUUAUUUCUUUGCUGGUGUGUUGGCUGAGCACAGAGCAGCUUUUUUGGAGGAGUUUUCCUGUGGCAGCAUAUUCUUUACUCAAGUUUGAUGGUUAAUGGAUUAAAAGUUUUAUUUUUCUAAAAAAUUAUUUCCAACAUAUCAGCAUUUGGCCUUACAAUCUUUAGGCAGAUGACCUUUUAAUAUUUUUAAACCUAACUAGAAUGGAAAAUCAAUGUAACUUAUAUGAUCCAACUGAAUGCAAAAUCCAACGAGGAUCUGAGAACUGCCUAGGAAUACCUGUCCAGAUUUGGUCAGCGAGUUCUCAUGAUGGUAAUGUAUGUAGUUUUUAUAAGGAUGUUGUCUUAUUGGGGCUUCAGGAUCUAUUUCAGGGGAGACUACUGUUUUUUCAAAUUUGAGUGGGUGUAAUUGGGAACUUGGGUGGGGUUAGACCGUAUCAGCUUUUCUGCCCACUUCAUAUGAGUUUUUAAAUUUCCAUCAAUUAAUUUUUAUUAUUAUUUAUAUUUACUUUGAAUGAAACUGUGUAAAAUUCUAAAAUUCAAAUUCACGAGACCAGACCACCAGGAUUUCAAUUUUUUUUAAAGUUACAUUAUAACUUACAUUAAAAUAUAAAAAAUCAAUGACAUCCAGCUUCAUAAAUUUAGGACUUAAAAGUUUUUAAACUACAUUAUAACCUACUUAAAAAUAAUCUUAAAAAAUUUCAAUGAAAUCCACUUAAUUUUUUUUGAGGAGCUCCUCUCUACGUUAGGGUUGGGCAGUGAGCAUUACCUGAAAUCUUUUUAGGCGGUGGUGUGCAGGGGAAUUGCGGGUUACUUUUUGCCAUUGAAUGUGAUCUUCGUUUUUAAAUGUGAGCCUAAUAUUUAAUCGAAUUUUUUCUAUGCAAUUGGUUUGUGUGGUAUAGUUUGUGUUUUUUUUGUCAAUUUUGCUUUUGAAGAUUGGCUGGAAUUGACAGGUAGCUAUGACAUUGGAUGGCUUCAACAUGAUUUCCAAUCGGAAGUAAGGCGGUCUCUAAGCUUUAGAACAGGGCGCAUGGCUUUAUAAUUUAAUAUAAUUUUUUGGAGUAUCAUUAUAUAUUAUCCUGUAGAGGAAGUUUGACCAAUAAAUAAAUAUAAGGCGAUUCGGAAAGAAAUAUGUUAUAUGGCUCAUUUUGUUUCAGUGCAUGAUAGGUUUUAGGACAUUCAAAGGGCUUGAACACAGUUAUUCAUUGGGCAAUUGAGAGAAGAAUGGCAUCUAUUGGUUUCUCUGUGUAAGGAGCACAUGGUAUUCAAUUCUGCUGGUUUGCGAUGCUGUUUUUGGGUUUAGCCAUUAAAAUUUCAUGGGUUGGUUUUAUAAUUCAGAUGUUAAAAUUUCAUGGGUUGGUUUUAUAUUUCAGAUUUUACCAAAGUGGAGGUAUGGAAAGGGUUUUUAUCAUUUUAUGUUGGGUUUAAGGUUUUAUCAUUUUGAGAUCUCUUUUUGGCUUAUUACAGGGAGUAUGAUUUUAUUGAAUUUUGUACACUUUUAAUUUAGGUACGUAAUGGUAAAGGCAUGCUUUAGUUUAUUCCUUUUUAUAUCUGAUGAUCUUAGCAGCUAGAAAACGUUAAUUAAGGUGUUGCUUCCAAUUGUCUUUGUGUGAUUUGUAGGUUAAAUGCUCUGUAAAUUGUCAUGAUCAAUUUGACUUUAAAUUACCACCAAACAUGUUAAAAGUGCUAUCUGUUACCAUAGCAACAUCGGCCUAUUCUCAAUGGCUAGUUAUUAACUAUUGGAAUCGAUAUUGGUGGUGAAUAUUUGAUACUCAGAAUGUGGUCCACUACAAAAUGAAGGAGACUUGUGGGGGAAAGUGAAAUGGCUUACUAUUUCUUUGUUAUUGUUCGCUUUGGUUAUACGAUUUAUUGGGUAACUUCAUUAUUAAUAUAUUAAGAAGCUUUUGUUUUAGGCUUGUUAAGUUGUUCUUUAUUCCUUUGCAGUUAUGUUGGCUGACCAUAGAGUAGCUUUUUGAGAGAAGUUUUCCCAUAUUAGUUACUUAAGUUUGCUGGCUAAUAGAUUGCGUUUAAGGCGGAGUUGCUGGAUCUUCUAAGUAUUCAAAACAUUUUAUGCAUGGCGACUUAAGUGAGGAUUUUCCAGUUAUAGGUUUUGUAUUUUUUAAAAAUUAUUUUGAACAUCUCAUUAUUUGGUCUUAUAAUCUUUAGCCAGACGAAAUUUGUAUAUAGGCAAACAUUUCGUGGGGAGCGUGAACCUUAUGUUAGAAGUUUCCUCCUUGUAAAAAUUGAUGCGGAACAUAUCACUGUUUGGCAGGUGAACUUUAAAUUAAACUGGCGGCCCAUGGGCAUCGAAAUAACACUGUUUGAAUAUCAGCAUUUUUUAUCAUCUGUCAUUUUGAGGGAAUUUAGUUAAAGAGGAAUCUGCAACAGCACGGUACACAAUUUUAUUUUAGUUUAAUGUUAUGAAUAUGAGGAGCCUGUACAAUAUUUGAGGGUUUAAGUGCAGCGUAGAAGCAUCUGCUGCAUGGUGAUUAUAAUUAUACAGGCAUUUGUGGAUGCGAGUCUACACAAAAUCCAGCAGUUCUUUCUGUUGGGUAGAAGCAUAUGCACUGGCAAAUGAUAGAUUAACUUGAAUUAAUUGGAGUGUGAUUAUAGAAGCAUCAGUGGAGGAGGUAUUUGAUGUAUUUAAUUUUUUUUCCUUUUUUUCAGAUGAUUAUGUAGGUAUUUGUGGAGGCAAGGAGCCUAAUUGAAAUCAGAGGUCAAGGGAAUCAGAAGUAAAAUCAGAGGUCAAGGGAUUCUGUGAGGAUGAUUUUGAUCAAUUUUGUUUUGGCUUUAUGUGUUUGUACAGUAUGUUCCAUGAGAUUGAUCUACCUUGUUAACCUGUAUGCAAACCUUGAAGCAUUUAAAAUUAAAUUGGCAAUUCGGGGCAUCUAUUUAUUUCUUAUUUUAAUGAUUUGUCAUGUUUGUGAACGUUAGAACGCAUUUAAGGUUUAUGCAAACCUGGAAGCAACCGGGUAUGCUGCUGAAGUACUCUAUGGAUAGAGUGGUACAACAUUUUUUAUAUUAACAUAAAGUGAUACAACAUUAUUUAUAUUAUGUUAUGCAGCAGUCAAUUGUUUUGCAACUAUGAGCUGAAGGGGAAGGUUGAGGUAGCAUUUAAGUUAUGGUGUUAUGCUUUUUAAGUGGUGAUUUAGUGAAGAGCACCUUCAUUUUAAUAUGGCCAAAGUAUAAUUAAUAAUUAUGCAGGGCUUAUCUGACAUGAGGAUUCUGUGGCCCAAAAAAUCAGAGGGUGGAAUCAGCAAGACAGGAAAAAUAUCAAUAUCAUAAGGCUGCUGGUAUUCUAGGAUAGCCAUUUUGUGUUUGUGAUUUGAACUUUUUAUCACCUUGAUAUGGUUAAUCCAAGAAGCAGUUCCGUACUGCUUGACUAUCAAUAGUAAUAGAAUUCACAUUUGCAUUGCAAACCUGAAAAGCAUAUAAAAUUGAUUUUGUAAUUGGGGCAUCUCUUAUUUGAAUGAGACUCAUGUUUGUGAACAUUAGAACACAUUGAACAUUCAUGCAAACCUGGAAGCAACAGGGUAUGCUAUUGAAGUACUCUAUGGAUAAAGUGGUACAACAUUGUUUAUAUUAUGUUUUGCAGCAGUCAAUUGUUUUGCAACUUUGAUGCCCUAUGAGCUAAAGGGGAAGGUUGAGGUAGCAUUUAUGUUAUGGUGUUAUGCUUUUUAAAUGGUUAUUUACUUAAAGAGACCUUCCUCCAUUUUAAUAUGGCCAAAAUAUAAUUAUGCAGGAGUUUUCUGACAUGAGGAUUCUGUUGCCCGAAAGUGGGAAUCAGCAAGACAGUGGAAAAAUAUCAACACCUCAAGGCUGCGGGUAUGCAAGAUGAUCAAUAGUUAUAGAAUUCAAAUUUGCAUUGCAAACCUGAAAGCAUUUAGAAUUAAUUUGGUGAUUGGGAGCAUAAAUUUACUUCUUAUUUUAAUGAUUCUCAUGUUUGUAAACAUUAAAAUGCAUUUAACUUUCAUGCAAAUCUGGAAGCAACAGGGUAUGCAACUGAAGUAUUCUAUUGAUAAAGUGGUACAACAUUUUUAUAUUAAGUUAUGCAGCAGUCAAUUGUUUUGCAACUUUGAUGGUCUAUGAGCGGAGAGGGAAGGCUGAGAUAGCAUUUAUGUUAUGGUGUUAUGCUUUUUAAAUGUUAAUCUACUGAAGAGCACCUUCCUCCAAUAUAAUAUGGCCAAAGUAUAAUUAUGCAGGGGUUCCGUGAUGUUAGGAUUCUGUGGCCCGAAAAGUCUAAGAGGGUGGGAAUCAGCAAGACAGUGGAAUCGUAUUCUAGGAUAGGUGAAUUGAAGAACUUUUUAUCACCUCGAUAUGGUUAAUGCAAGAAGCAGUUCUAUACUGCUUGGUGAUCAAUAGUUAUAGAAUUCACAUUUGCAUUGCAUACGUGAAAUUAUUAAAAAUUGAUUUGGCAAUUGGGGGCAUCAUUUUAUUUCUUAUUUUAAUGAUUGUCAUGUUUGUAAACAUUAGAAUGCACUCAACAUUUAUGGAAACCUUGAAGCAACAGGGUAUGCUACUGGAUAAAGUGGUACAUCAUUGUUUAUAUUAUGUCAUGCAGCAGUCAGUUGUUUUGCAACUUUGAUGCUCUAUGAACUAAAGGGGAAGGUUGAGGUCGCAUUAAUGUUGUGGUGUUAUGCUUUUUCAAUGGUGAUUUACUGAAGAGUACCUUCCUCCAUUUUAAUGUGGAGGAAGUAUAAUUAUGCAGGGGUUUUCGGACAUGAGGAUUCUAUGGCCCAAGGGUGGGCAUCAGCAAGACAGUGGAAAAAUAUCAACAUCUUAGGGCUGCUGGUAUUUUAGGAUAGUUAUUUUGUUUUUUAAAUUGAUGAACUUGUUUUUCACCUCGAUAUAGUUAAUGCAAGAAGCUGUUCUCUACUGCUUGAUGAUCAUAGUUAUAGAAUUCACAUUUCCAUUGGAUACCUAAAAGCAUUUAAAAUAAAAAUUAUUUUGGCAAUUGGGGUCAUCGAUAUAUUUUCUCUUCUAAUGAUUCUCUUGUUUGUGAUCAUUACAAUGCAUUUAACAUUCUUGCAAACCUGGAAGCAAUAGGGUACAACAUUGUUUAUAAUAAAGUGGUAUUAUGCUACUGAAGUUUAUAAUAAAGUGGUAUUAUGCUACUGAAGCACUCUAUGGAUGAAGUGGUACAACAUUGUUUAUUAUAUGUUAUGCAACAGUCAAUUGUUUUGCAACUUUGAUGUCCUAUGAGUUAAAGGGGAAGGUUGAGGUACUGUUUAUGUUAUGGUAUUAUGCUGUUUAAAUGGUGAUUUCUUGAAGAACACCUUCUCCAUUUUAAUAUGGCGAAAGCAUAAUUAUGCAGGGGAUUUCUGACAUGAGGAUUCUGUGGCCCGAAAAAUCAAAUGGUGGGAAUCAGCAAGACAGUAGAAAAAUGUCAAGACUUAUGGCAGCUGGUAUUCUAGGAGUUAUUUUGUUUUUUGAAUCGCACUUUUUUAUUAAUGCAAGAAGCAGUUCUCUAUCGCUUGAUGAUCAAUAGUUAUGGAAUUCACAUUUGCAUUGCAAACCUGAAAGCAUUUAAAAUAAAUUUGUUAAUUGUGAGCAUCAAUUUAUUUCUUAUUUUAAUGAUUGUCAUGUUUGUGAACAUUAGAAUGCAUUUAAUGUUUAUGCAUACCUGGAAGCAACAGGGUAUGCUACUGAAGUAUUUAUUCUGUGGAUAAAGUGGUACAUCAUUUUUUAUAGCUCAGUUGUUUUGCAACAUUGAUGUCCUAUGAGCUAAAGGGGAAGGUUGAGGUAGCAUUUAUGUUAUGGUGUUAUGCUUUUUAAAUGAUUUACUGAAGAGCAAUUUCCUCCAUUUUAAUAUGUCCAAAGUACAAUUAUGCAGGUGCUUUCUGCCAUGAGGAUGCUGUGGCCCAAAAAAUCAGAGGGUGGGAAUUAGCAAAACAAUAGAAAAUUAUCAACAUCUUAAGGCUGCUGGGCCGGGAGAGCAUAGCGGAAACUUGUGUGGAAUUAGCUGUAGAGAAUCACAGUAACCAAAAUAAUGAUUUUUUAAAGUGAAUUUCCUGUUAUUUUUUAUGGGGUGAAUGGGCAGGCCCGGUAGAGCAUAGCGGAAACUAGUGUGGAAUUAGCUGUGGCUUACAAAGAUGCACCAUUUCAGUUUCUUGUUAUCUUAUUUGAAUUUUUAUUUUAUUCUAUUUUUUAAAAGAUAUAGUGGAGUUUUGGAUGGAUGGACAUUUGAAUCUUGGCUAUGAUGUAAAUCCAGCACUCUCAGCUAAGGAUAUGUGUAAACUAAUUUUUAAUUUGCAACUUAGAGUUGCAUAAUUUCUUUAUCAAAGUAGAUUGCUUUGGUUCAUUGUGAACUUGAGUCUCCUAACUCUUAUUUCAGCAAUUUUUUUGGUUUGUUUAAUUAUCCUUUUUGCUGCUACACUUUCGAUUUUGCAAUAAAACUCUUUUCAUUCUCGUGGGAAAUCAAAGCUUAUUUGUGGGAAGUUGAAAGCUUAUGUAAAGCUUAUUGAUAGGUUCAUAAUCAGUUUCGAUUAUUAGUUGUUUUCUUUAUAAUUUCUUGCCACAGGGGAUGAGUGUUCCAACUAAAAUAGUUGUUUGUCUAGGUGUCCACACCUUACGAAGUUGUAAGUUUACGAUUUAGAUUGGGCAAUUAUGUUUGUCUACCAUGUUUGAGGAUUUACUAGGUCUUUAAGAUGUCUUAAACAUUCUUUUAGUGAAGAGAUUACUCGAUUAGGACUAAAUCUGAUGUUUUUGAGAAAUUACUAUAGGCAUUAGGGGUUUAAGUUCAUCGUUUUAUGUAGGUAUUUGUGGAGAUAUGAAUCAUGGAGGGAAAUCAAUGCAGGGUUAACAUUUAUAGAAACCUGGAAGCAACAGAGUAUGUGCACCACUGAAGUACUCUAUAGAUAAAGUGGUGCAAUAACUUUUUCCAUUAUGUUAUUUUGCAGUUGGUUGUUCUGUAACUUUGAUGGUCUAUGAGCUGAAGGGGAAGGUUGAUGGUCUAUUAUGUUGGUAUGAAUUACUGAAGAGUAUCUCCGUCCAAUUUAAUCUGGCCAAACUAUGAUUGUGAGGUGUGGAUUUUGUGGCCUGAAAUUAGAGGGUGGGAAUCAACAAGACAGCGGAAAAACAUCAACAUCCGAAGGCUGUGGGUAUUCUAGGAUAAUUAUUUUUUUUUGCGAAUUGAAGAGCUUUGUAUCACCUCAAUAUUCUUAAUGUGGGAAGCCAUUCUCUACUCGAUGAUUCAUAGGUUACCAUUCUCAUUUGCAUUGUGAUUGAGCAAAUGUGAGUCCUGAAAAGAAUGUUUUUUGAGAAGCCAACAACCAUAUCAUAAGCGCAUAGCUUAAAAAUGAUCAAUCAAUUAUCAUUUUAUUUUUUGGUAGUUUAAUUACAAACAAUAAAUUUUUUUGUUUGUA